rnacentral:lncRNA from 1 species
CUAAGGCCCAGUUUGACAAGUUCGUGUUGGACAAGGCGGAGGAGAAAGCGGCCUUUGAUCUUGGUGCUGGAGAAGACGACAGCUGAGGCGGCGGCACAGAAGGCCAUUGCUGACAAGGCGUUAGUGGACUUCGGCGAGCUGCAGGUAUUGUGCUUGGGAAAGGGUCUCGCGUACUUCGAGGAGGUCUGUUUUGAUUAUCACCCCAAAUAUUGCUGCUCACAAGCAGGAGUCUUCAACGGCUGCCAAGGCCCAGUUUGACAAGUUCGUGUUGGACAAGGCGGAGGAGAAAGCGGCCUUUGACUUGGUGCUGGAGAAGACGACAGCUGUGGCGGCGGCACAGAAGGCCAUUGCUGACAAGGCGUUAGUGGACUUCGGCGAGCUGCAGGUAUUCUGCUUGGGAAAGGGUCUCGCGUACUUCGAGAAGGUUUGUUUUGAUUAUUAACCCAAAAUUGGCUGCUCACAAGCAGGAGUCUUCAACGGCUGCUAAGGCCCAGUUUGACAAGUUCGUGUUGGACAAGGCGGAGGAGAAAGCGGCCUUUGACCUGGUGCUGGAGAAGACGACAGCUGAGGCGGCGGCACAGAAGGCCAUUGCUGACAAGGCGUUAGUGGACUUCGGGGAGCUGCAGGUUAGCGCAUGCACAUCUGGUCCAGGGUUUCGUAUGCAGGUCAACCUUUCUUGACCAUGUUGAAUAUUGAUUAGUAUCCGCGUGUGCUUAUUCCCGACGCUUUAGUGCCUUCACUGCUUGCGGUGUGUUCGCGCUGAUGUGCCGGAUUACCGGGCGUUUUAUCCUUAUCCCGCUCGCUGUCUGCAUCAUACUGGUAUGGUCCUUUCCCUCAGCAUUUGCCCAUUACCGAGGCUGAGGUUGGCGGUUAGUAGUAGGCACAGCGGGAAAGCGAUGCCCCUUUCACACCUGGGAAGUGUCGAUUCGUGCGCAUUUCGUGCUGCCGUAGGAGUCCGCCGCAACCACCAAGUCCCAGUUCGACAAGUUCGUGGCGGACAAGGCUGAGGAGAAAGCUGUCUUUGAUCACCUUCUGGAACAGACAGUGGCAGAGGUUGCGGCACAUAAGGCCAUUGCCGACAAGGCGCUGGUGGAUAUGGACGAAAUGCAGGUGAGAGGUCAACAAGUCUUUGGAUUUUUUCGGCACGGGAUUAUGGCUACGGGUGAACAAGAUUAGAUGCAAGGGAGACCUGGCACAUUGGCCGCUUAAGUAGUCACCGCAUCUGUGACAUUGGGAAAGGCCGAGAGGUGCCUGCUUCGCACUGUGUGUCUUCAGGUCUCAUCACUCCCGGCAUUCAUGUAGCCCCAUAUGGGCCUGCUUAAGGGUUCUGCCUCACGUGCAUUAGGGUUUUAUUCCCUAGAGAAGAGUGUGAUAAGAGUCGCCGCUUUUUGUGGCCGUCCCUUUCUGCGUGUAGCAAGCCGCCACGUGCACCAAGGCCCAGUUUGACAAGUUCGUGUUGGACAAGACGGAGGAGAAAGCGGCCUUUGACCUGGUGCUGGAGAAGACGACAGCUGAGGCGGCGGCGCAGAAGGCCCUUGCUGACAAGGCGUUAGUGGAUUUCUCCGAGCAAAAAGCCAUCGCCGAUAAGGCUCUAGUAGACUUUAGCGAGCUGCAGGUGAGUAGCUAACAAACGGCGAACAUGGGAUUGAAACCUCGCUGGCAGCUGGAUGACAAAGUCGGAGUCAUUUGGCAGGUUCUCCGUCGCGCCAGGCAUCGCCUGGCGUCCCUCGAUGUCUCCUGUUAAAGUGAUCCAUAUUCAACCCAUUGUCCGAGGUGUACCGAAGACCACACAGUCGGCAUUACCCGUCUCCUUGGGUCCGGCCUGCCGUUACCAGGUUGCCGGCAGAAAGGGUGAAUGCAUGCACAUGUAUGUGCGCACGCACGCACGCUCUUUACGGCCGCGGUUGCGAUCUAUCCUCUUUCUUACUCCUUAACCGAAGGCCUCUGCGGAAGCUGACAAGGCGGGCCAUGACAAGGUGCUGCUGGACCUUGCGG